rnacentral:rRNA from 1 species
ACAGCAGCCGCCGCGGGAAUACAGAGGGUGCGAGCGUUAAUCGGAUUUACUGGGCGUAAAGCGUGCGUAGGCGGCUUUUUAAGUCGGAUGUGAAAUCCCUGAGCUUAACUUAGGAAUUGCAUUCGAUACUGGGAAGCUAGAGUAUGGGAGAGGAUGGUAGAAUUCCAGGUGUAGCGGUGAAAUGCGUAGAGAUCUGGAGGAAUACCGAUGGCGAAGGCAGCCAUCUGGCCUAAUACUGACGCUGAGGUACGAAAGCAUGGGGAGCAAACAGGAUUAGAUACCCGGGUAGUCCCUGUCUCUUAUAC